GACGAACGCUGGCGGCGUGCUUAACACAUGCAAGUCGAACGGAAAGGCCCUGCUUUUGUGGGGUGCUCGAGUGGCGAACGGGUGAGUAACACGUGAGUAGCCUGCCCUUGACUUUGGGAUAACUUCAGGAAACUGGGGCUAAUACCGGAUAGGAGCUCCUGCUGCAUGGUGGGGGUUGGAAAGUUUCGGCGGUUGGGGAUGGACUCGCGGCUUAUCAGCUUGUUGGUGGGGUAGUGGCUUACCAAGGCUUUGACGGGUAGCCGGCCUGAGAGGGUGACCGGCCACAUUGGGACUGCGAUACGGCCCAGACUCCUACGGGAGGCAGCAGUGGGGAAUAUUGCACAAUGGGCGGAAGCCUGAUGCAGCAACGCCGCGUGCGGGAUGACGGCCUUCGGGUUGUAAACCGCUUUCGCCUGUGACGAAGCGUGAGUGACGGUAAUGGGUAAAGAAGCACCGGCUAACUACGUG
rnacentral:rRNA from 1 species